rnacentral:rRNA from 1 species
UUACGGGAGGCAGCAGUGGGGAAUUUUCCGCAAUGGGCGAAAGCCUGACGGAGCAAUACCGCGUGAGGGAGGAAGGCUCUUGGGUUGUAAACCUCUUUUCUCAAGGAAUAAGUUCUGAAGGUACUUGAGGAAUAAGCAUCGGCUAACUCCGUGCCAGCAGCCGCGGUAAUACGGAGGAUGCAAGCGUUAUCCGGAAUGAUUGGGCGUAAAGGGUCCGCAGGUGGCAUUGUAAGUCUGCUGUCAAAGAAUGAGGCUUAACCUCAUCAAGGCAGUGGAAACUACAAAGCUAGAGUACGGUCGGGGUAGAAGGAAUUCCUGGUGUAGCGGUGAAAUGCGUAGAGAUCAGGAAGAACACCGGUGGCGAAAGCGUUCUGCUAGACCUGUACUGACACUGAGGGACGAAAGCUAGGGGAGCGAAUGGGAUUAGAUACCCCAGUAGUCC